UAACUGGCGAGUUUGAUCCUGGCUCAGAGUGAACGCUGGCGGCGUGCCUAACACAUGCAAGUCGAGCGAGAAAGGGGCUUCGGCCCUGAGUACAGCGGCAGACGGGUGAGGAACACGUGGGUAACCCACCCAGGGGCGGG
rnacentral:rRNA from 1 species